rnacentral:rRNA from 1 species
UACGGAGGGUGCAAACGUUGCUCGGAAUCAUUGGGCGUAAAGCGCACGUAGGCGGCCUGUUAAGUCGGAUGUGAAAGCCCUGAGCUCAACUCAGGAAGUGCAUUCGAAACUGGCGGGCUUGAAUAUGGAAGAGGGUCGCGGAAUUCCCGGUGUAGAGGUGAAAUUCGUAGAUAUCGGGAGGAACACCAGUGGCGAAGGCGGCGACCUGGGCCAAUAUUGACGCUCAUGUGCGAAAGCGUGGGGAGCAAACAGGAUUAGAUACCCUGGUAGUCCACGCCGUAAACGAUGGAUGCUAGGUGUUGCGGGUAUUGACCCCUGCAGCGCCGCAGUUAACGCAUUAAGCAUCCCGCCUGGGGAGUACGGCCGCAAGGCUAAA